GGUCUCUUUUGGGGAGGCGUGGUUCUCACUCUGGCUGGUGUGGCUCAUGGCAGCUUGCUGAGCAUCCUGGUGGUUUGGCUAGUCACAGCUUGAUGGUGAGGUAAUUGGGAGAAGCUCUGUAGUGUGGGUUACAUGAAGCAUCUUCCCUAAGUGACCUGGGCACUGAAGUCCAGUGGGAAGACAAAAGUCGGGACAAGCAGAGCCUGGGAUGCAGUGGGUGACCUUGGUGUCUUCAAUGUCUUACCGAGCUCUAAGUACUCCAUAACACCAUAACUCCAGCCACCUUCAUAGCUGUUGGGACAAAUUGUUCUCAUCUACCCAUUCCCCCAGAAAAAGUCUUCCCAAGCUUGCAGUAGAUAUCCCCUGAGAUCACCAACAGGUUUAAAGUCUCUUGGCUUCCCUCAUCCUGGUUUAGUCCUUCUGCUGAAAUGGUUUUUAAUGGAGUGUAGCCACUGCACAUGUUACAGCUUCUUGGAACUACUUAUAGAUGAGGAAACUGUGACCUCUAGAGGAGAAAUGACUCACCGAAAGCCCCAUAUUCAGGAGAACCACACCAAAUUCUUGACCUCUACCUUCAAUAAGCUGCUCUUUCUAUCACAAACACAUUGUUUUUAACCCUUCUCAUUUUGAAAAGCCAUGGUGUAAAAUUCAAUUUAACAAAACAAUUCAUUUAAACAUUGUUCUUGUUGUUUGAUGUUUUAAAUGUUUAAAUUUAUGUUUCCCAUCCUUUUGAACAAUCAACUGGGAAGAUGUCGGAGGCCAGCUGUGAGGGGUCACAUGAGCCCUUUAUCACUUAGGAAAUUCCUGUUUACUUCUUUAGGACAAGGCCUUUCUCCCUUCAAAUCCUUGGCAUGAUGAGGAUAAUCAUCCAGGCCUUCUGGUUCUCUGUUGAUUUAAAGACUUUUCCAACAGCUGGAGGGUCAGGGUGAAAAGUUGAUGGCCAGAGAGUUGCAUUAGUUUGGAGAAAGGAAAUUGCAAUUAAGAUUUUGUUCACACAAGUUCAGAGGUCUUCAGAUGACUGGGUGUGGUUUGGUGUGUGUGUGUGUGUGUUAUGUCAACAGGUUUUUUUUUUCAUAUUUGAUUGCAUAUAGAAAGGUCUUAUAUCCUUUGAGAAAUUUGAGAGUUGGAAAAGAAUUCUAGUGAAUAACUAGAAAUUAAACUAAAAUAGUUUGGAGGAUUGUAAGUUUGUGGAAAGAGUGACUUGGGAUCAGGAGAUUGCAGUUUGAAUCCUUGCCUAACUUCCCUGAACCUCAGUUUCCUCACCUGUAAAAUAAGACAAAAAUAAUCUGUGUACUAGCUACUUCAUAGAACUGCUAUAAAGAAAGUGCUUUUUUGAUUGUCAUAAUGUGGAAAUUGGCUCUCAAGGUAGAGGAUCUGGAUUUAAAUCCUACCAUUGAUGCUCCCUGUCUGUAUUUGCUUGGGGAAGACACUGACCUAACUUUAGCUUCAGCGAGUUUACCUGUAAAAUGUUGGAGUGGGACUAGAUGAUCUUUGAAAUUUCUCCCCAGCCAGGUAACUGGGGAUAACUCUAGAGGAAAAGCAGAGCAAGGAUUUGUAUUAGCUGCUCCCCUGGAACAGAGCAGGCAAAUUCUUUAAAGUCUGACCAGAGGAAAAUCAGUCUUUAUAUCACCCUGUUUACAGCUUGAAAGCAUGAGAUUAUUAUUUUCUAAUGUUAACUUUUAAUGAAAAAACCCUUACCUUCUGUCUCAGAAUGAAUACCAAGUAUCAGUUCCAAGGCAAAUGAAAGGAAAAGGCUAGGCAAGUGGAAUUAAGCGACUUACCAAGGUCACCUGGCUAGGAAGUAUCUAAGGUCAGGUUUGAACCCAGGACUCUCCCAUCACCAAGCCUGGCUCUCCAUCCAUUAAGCCACCCAGCUGCCCCUAACCCUUCACAUUUUAUAAAUGAAAGCACUGGGCUUGGAAUUCUGGAAAUGCUUAUUAUUAUUCUAGACUAGAAAGAAAGUCACAGGAAUUCACUCACUCUUGGGUUCUGCAGCUAAAAAGAAGAUAUAGUGAUAUCAGUCUGCAGGGUCAUAAUUUUUACACUCAGAGCAGGAGUCAGUAUCAGCAAAUUAACAAAUGCCAUUGGUGGAGGGGAAAUAAAAUAUUUUUCUUUUCUUUUGUAUUCA
ensembl:lncRNA